rnacentral:pre_miRNA from 1 species
GAGUUGAAAAUGAGAAUUGGAGGAAGCCAAAUGGUUCUUGGCUAGAGUGAAAUCAAUUAUCCAUUUGGUUUCCUCCAAUAUCUCAUCUUCACCUC